rnacentral:rRNA from 1 species
UUGAUCCUGGCUCAGGAUGAACGCUGGCGGCGUGCUUAACACAUGCAAGUCGAACGGUGAACACGGAGCUUGCUCUGUGGGAUCAGUGGCGAACGGGUGAGUAACACGUGAGCAACCUGCCCCUGACUCUGGGAUAAGCGCUGGAAACGGCGUCUAAUACUGGAUACGAGUAGCGACCGCAUGGUCAGUUACUGGAAAGAAUUUCGGUUGGGGAUGGGCUCGCGGCCUAUCAGCUUGUUGGUGAGGUAAUGGCUCACCAAGGCGUCGACGGGUAGCCGGCCUGAGAGGGUGACCGGCCACACUGGGACUGAGACACGGCCCAGACUCCUACGGGAGGCAGCAGUGGGGAAUAUUGCACAAUGGGCGCAAGCCUGAUGCAGCAACGCCGCGUGAGGGAUGACGGCCUUCGGGUUGUAAACCUCUUUUAGCAGGGAAGAAGCGAAAGUGACGGUACCUGCAGAAAAAGCGCCGGCUAACUACGUGCCAGCAGCCGCGGUAAUACGUAGGGCGCAAGCGUUAUCCGGAAUUAUUGGGCGUAAAGAGCUCGUAGGCGGUUUGUCGCGUCUGCUGUGAAAUCCCGAGGCUCAACCUCGGGCCUGCAGUGGGUACGGGCAGACUAGAGUGCGGUAGGGGAGAUUGGAAUUCCUGGUGUAGCGGUGGAAUGCGCAGAUAUCAGGAGGAACACCGAUGGCGAAGGCAGAUCUCUGGGCCGUAACUGACGCUGAGGAGCGAAAGGGUGGGGAGCAAACAGGCUUAGAUACCCUGGUAGUCCACCCCGUAAACGUUGGGAACUAGUUGUGGGGUCCAUUCCACGGAUUCCGUGACGCAGCUAACGCAUUAAGUUCCCCGCCUGGGGAGUACGGCCGCAAGGCUAAAACUCAAAGGAAUUGACGGGGACCCGCACAAGCGGCGGAGCAUGCGGAUUAAUUCGAUGCAACGCGAAGAACCUUACCAAGGCUUGACAUAUACGAGAACGGGCCAGAAAUGGUCAACUCUUUGGACACUCGUAAACAGGUGGUGCAUGGUUGUCGUCAGCUCGUGUCGUGAGAUGUUGGGUUAAGUCCCGCAACGAGCGCAACCCUCGUUCUAUGUUGCCAGCACGUAAUGGUGGGAACUCAUGGGAUACUGCCGGGGUCAACUCGGAGGAAGGUGGGGAUGACGUCAAAUCAUCAUGCCCCUUAUGUCUUGGGCUUCACGCAUGCUACAAUGGCCGGUACAAAGGGCUGCAAUACCGCGAGGUGGAGCGAAUCCCAAAAAGCCGGUCCCAGUUCGGAUUGAGGUCUGCAACUCGACCUCAUGAAGUCGGAGUCGCUAGUAAUC